CCUCCCACACGCGCGCCUCCUUCCUCCUCUCGCACCCGCGCCUCCCUCUCCUCUUCCUCUCGCCCCUCGCGCCGCCACUACUGCCUCCUUCCCCGCCGCCGCUCGGCCUCCUACCCUCAUGUCCUCCUCCUUCCACCCCCUCCGAUCUGGCGCCACCCAAACCCCAACCCCCCGCCCUGGCUCUGGCUCCCGCCGGAGGGUAGGAGGAAUGGCGAGGCGAGGCAAAGGCGGCGGCGUAUGGGACGUGUCGUGGGGAGGUGUGGCCCAGGGGGUCGGCGCAGCCACGGCUUCUCGUCGUCUCCGCCGUCACCUGGGCGCUGCCAUGGGAGAGCUCGAGCUCGAAGGGGGAGCAGCGGGGAGAGGAACGUGAGGCCAUGGGGGAGGAAGAAGAUGGCCCCCCUCGUUCCCAAGGUUGGUCUUCGCGUGACGCUGGUUAAGGUUGGUCUGCUGUCAGCAGGUGCUCAUGUUUCUCGUCGGUUCGUCCUGCUGCCUCUUCGGUCAUCGCUCUACAGUGCGAGGAAGAUGAGCAGAUAGGGCGUGGCGAUAUGGCGGCUGCGGCGGCGGCCUGCUCAUCCAGAGAAAGAGAGAGACAGGGCGUGAGGGAGAGAGGAAAGAGAGGGGAAAAAGGAGAAGGAGCAGGGGCGCAAGGUGAGGGAGGGAUCUGGCGGAUGGUGCGGGAGGCGGUCGCCGGCGGUGGCGCCUCUGGUGACGGGCCGGCGGGUAGGGCGGCGAGCUCCUGUUGAGGCGGCGGGGCUUGGUGCGGGCCGGUUCCUCUGGAUCGAGCCUUGGCUGUCCCGAGGCGUGCUCUUGCGGGCUUGGAUCGGGGGGUGCUCUGCUGUCCCAACUAAUCAACUACAGGUCCAGAACAAAUCGGCGCUGGAUUCGUCGACGUAGCCGCCACCCAGCGCCGGCCAUCUCGCCCGAGCACGCGACAAAUCAAGGGAUGCCAAGGAGGAGCGAAUAAGCGAAGCAAGGGGCGAGCGUUCUGCUGCAGUCAAACAGGGCCGAUGGGACGCUGCUCGCUGCAGGUCAUACAACAAAUACAAGGCUGCAGUUGAGCCUGUUCAACAAUGGUUCCUGCUCAUUGUGGAAAUGCCGCACGCCGUGUCUGCCAGCCAAGCCACAUCGAGAGAAAGGAGUUGGCGAUUAGCAGUAAUUGCAAGUUGUAGAACAAUAUAGCAGACAUUUCUCACCGUAUCUCCGGUCCGUCUUCUUUCUUGCUUCAAGUUUAUGUUUCAACAUGCAUGUCAUAUGUUCCAAUAAAUGAUGCCUGGGACAAGUACUAAUGGCAUGGAGACAGUAGAAUAAUCAAUCUAAAUAAUUCGGUGAUAGGUUAGAUGUAUGUUCCAAAUGUAUACGUAAACAUAUAUUUCAUAAGCCAAGAAAUACAUGCAUCUGAAACACGGCC